rnacentral:lncRNA from 1 species
AUGGCGGAACUGUGUCAAGGAGCCCAACCCAACCCGAGCACCGCCGAGCCGAGAGGGAGGAGCGGUCGGGUCGGGUGGGGUGGGGUGGUGGAGGUGGGGGGGAGGAGGCGGCGGCGAGCGGCUCGCCCUACCCGGAGGGGGCCCCCCGAUGCCAGCCAGCGGCGCCCGCACGAGCGGAACCGACGGCGGCCGACCCGCACCGGACACACCCCGCUCUCUCCCUCCCGGGGUCCCCCCUCCCGCCCCCGACAGCUGCGGAGGAGGAGGAGGGGGAUGGGAGGGGCCGGGCCCCACCCAGACCGGCGCAGCCCCCGCUCUCCCCGAAGGAUGCUCACCUCCCACCCGGCCGGAGACCCCCCUGCGUCCCCGGGGCGCCCAGGCCGAGCCCCUCCCCCAACCACCCACCCACCCACCGAGUGUGCGAGCGUGCGAGCGAGUGAGCCACCGAGAGGGACCCAGGAAGCUCAGCCCCGGGUCCCCGGCGGGAGGGCAAGCGGGAGGGCGAGCCGGCCCCACCCCGGAGACUCGCUCUCUCUCGCGCGCGCGCUACCUGGCUGCCCGCGCGGCGGGGGAGGGGCGGCGGGGGCGCCACGGCGGGGUGGGGGCCGCCUCACCUGCGCCACGGCCCCGGUCCCAGCCGCGGCGGAAGCGGGUGCCGGCGGGGGCGGAUGGCGCUCGCCCGCUCGCCCGAGCUUCAGCCCUACCCCCCCCAAACCCGGGAGGGUCUCGCGCGUGGGCGCCUCCUCCGCCACCCCCACCCCCGGGGACACGGGACACGGGCGGACGGGGCGACCAGCACCCCGGCAGGGCCAGCAGCAAGCGGCCCGGGGGCGGCCGUGGGCGCUCGCCCGGGGCUCGGCGGGACGAGCCGCCGCCCGGGUCCAGGAUCCUUGGGGACGCCCGCCGCGGCGGGGCGGGCGAGCGGCGGAGGGGCCAGCCCGGGAGGCUGCUCACCUGUGUCCGGAGUGGGUGGCGGCACACGGACCCGGUCGGCAGUGUCCCUGGGCGGCGGCGGCGGCGAGGCUGAGACUCUGUCCCUGA